ACGAACGCUGGCGGCGUGCUUAACACCUGCAAGUCGAACGGGAUUUAGUAAACGGAAGCCUCGGUGGAAGAUUACUAAUGAGAGUGGCGAACGGGUGAGUAACGCGUGAGCAACCUGCCUAUGACAGUGGGAUAGCCUCGGGAAACCGGGAUUAAUACCGCAUAAAAUCGUAGAAACACAUGUUUCAACGGUCAAAGAUUUAUCGGUCAUAGAUGGGCUCGCGUCUGAUUAGCUAGUUGGUGAGAUAACAGCCCACCAAGGCGACGAUCAGUAGCCGGUCUGAGAGGAUGAACGGCCACAUUGGAACUGAGACACGGUCCAAACUCCUACGGGAGGCAGCAGUGGGGAAUAUUGCACAAUGGGGGAAACCCUGAUGCAGCGACGCCGCGUGAACGAAGAAGGUAUUCGUAUCGUAAAGUUCUGUCCUAUGGGAAGAUAAUGACAGUACCAUAGAAGAAAGCUCCGGCUAAAUACGUG
rnacentral:rRNA from 1 species